AAGUCGUAACAAGGUUUCCGUAGGUGAACCUGCGGAAGGAUCAUUAACAGUUUAUGUUUGUGUCUGUUGUUGUGAUGUGUGUGAUCUGUGACAAUUGCCAUUUGGUUGGCAAUGUUAUUUUUUUUUACCAUGUUUUUUAUCACCUGUCUUAUACCAUACCAUAUACAAUUAUCGAAAACUGCCAGCAAUGGAUCACUCGGUUCUU
rnacentral:misc_RNA from 1 species